UAGCAAAUUGCUAUCAAACAAUGUCUUCACCCUAAAAAUUGGAAUUGGCUCAAGUGCUAAACUUUUCCAUCUUCUCUAAUAAAGUCUAGAGUUUAAAUCCUACCUAAGUAUUUACUCGGGAUUUAAGAGAAGAAGGGGGUUGCGGGGUGUCUAACUUGUAAUGAGCCUCUGGAUAUAUGCGCGUACAAGGGCAUUUAAGAGAAUUUCUUCUUACUUUUUUUUAAAUAUGUCAUUAAUUUUUUUACCACGACUUUCCACCGCUAUAUUUAUAAUAUCAUAGUCAUGUGAAAUCUUGUUGAAUUCAUGUCAAUGUGUAUUUUUUUCGAAUUUUUUUUGUUAAUAAAUAAUUAAAUAUAUUUUAAUAUUUAUGGUUCAAGUUGUGCAUCGAAGACCUUGAAAACUCACGUGUUGUAUUAUUCGUGGAGCGGAGGAAGUAUAUGAUAUUAUUACUUAUUAGGUAGUGGUUCACAAUUAUUAUUUUGGGCUCUCUCCUCACAACCUAAAUGUUUUAAAAGCUCCCUUCUAACAAAAAAUUCUAUCUGUAAACUUUGAAUUUUCAAAUCAAAAAUCAGCAAUUUGACAACUUCAUCACCCAUUGAUUCCCAGAAAUCCCAAUAGCUUAAAACUCUAAGUCUCUAAUAAUUCCAAGCUUAAACUCAAAUCCUUUUCUAAUUGUUUUAUGGAUAAUCACUUAAUCAACCCAAUUUAUCAUCUUUGACAAUUUGUCAGACUCUUCAAUCAAUACAUGGGACCAUAUGCAUAUGAAUUAUGAGAAUGAGACCUGCGGCUGUCUCUUUCUUACACUAAAUGACAUACCUUUAGACCUAUAGUAUUUACCAUUGAUGUUUUGGUUUAUUAAUCUCCUACCAAAAUUCUAACAUAGAGAAUAAACAUAAUACUUAUAAAGUUAUAAGCCAAAUUCCUGUGUUUUUAACCAAAGUUUUUGGUACUUCAACAUGUCAACUCAAAGUUGUUCUUUUAGUACAAAACUUUGGGUUGUUUUAGUGAUUCUUGGCAGUUCAUUGAUCUUGUUUUCGCUCUUUUUCGAUCAGCGAACUUCCUAUCAAAUCGAAAGAUCUGCAAGAAAAUUUCUGCUUCAAUCAUCUGAUCAGACUCAAAACUAUGUAAAGUUUGGUAGCUCAAAGGAAGUAAAUGAAACUGAGGGUUGGAUCUUCUCAAACCUGAACCAGUUCAGGGCUCGGUCCGGUUCAGAUUUGGUUCACUGGUCCAAUAUAUUUUUGUAAAUGGAAAAGUAUUUUGAUUUUUAAAUUUUAAUUGCACAUGCACUAGUAUUUACAAUAAGUAAUUUUCGAUACCUUCCAUGUACGCUAGUGUUAUUAAUAAGUAGGCCGAGUUGAAGAACUUUUAUGCAUAUUUAGAACUGGUUUAACGGUUCGAUUCAAGGUUGAGGACGGUUUACGAUGCGUUUCGCGUUGAGUGCGGUUCACGGUCUGUUUCGGGGCUAGAGUCGGGCCGAUUUCUUCCGCCAUCAAUUGGGCCACGAGAACCCUUAUGUUUGUGCGGUUUCGGUCUGGUUCUGGUUCAGGCCCAAUCAUCUGACGGUCCGGUCCUCUCCGAUUUUCUUGAAGGUUAGUUCAAGAUUGGGUUUUGUUUUGUGUAUCCAAUGACCACCUCUAUUAGCAUCUAUCAAAGAUUAAAAUAGACUCUAAUUUUUAUGUGUUUGAGCAUUGCUCACAUGACCUCAAACUUGCAAUUUAAAUAGAUUGAUUUGAGUUCCCUAGUAAAUUUAUGAUAAUAAAGGACCACGGUCGAUAUCAAAAAACACUAGGUAAUAGAAAAUAUAAUGUAUAGUAUAUACAAAAUAAUAUUCAUCAAAGAGAAUUAUAUCUCUAAAAUAAUAAUAGAUUAUUGUGAAACAUAUACUAGUAUACAUUUGUGCCACUUUAGAUGAAAAUGAAGUUUAAAUUUGAAAAAUCUUAAACAAUUAACUUCUUACAUACCUGUCAAAAAAAAAAAAAAAAACUUCUUACAUCUAGACAAAACCAUCAAUUGACUUUCCAAUGAUUUGAAAAUGGAAAGGAAGCAAACUCUAUGUGUCACACAAUAGAAAAUAACUCAAUCUAAUAGUAAGAUAAUCUCAAUGCACAAUUUUGUCCUUUAGGUGGCAUUUAAAUUGUAACCUGAUUAGCUUGAUUCAUUUCUAAUUGGAGUUUAAAGCUUGAUUAGAUGUUUUUUUUCAUAGAAUAAGAAGUAACAUAUACGAAAGUCCAAGCACAUAAGACUUGUAACCACCCAUAUUUACAAUAUUUUCUAUAACAACUGCCAGACAACGACACGUAUGUACUUUGACAUCUUCAUGAUUUGUCUUAAAGUAUAAACUUCUUUUGAACAGAUAAUAAUAAGGAUUAUGCCAACUAAUACCAGUGUUUAAGCGAGGAUAUACUAGAAAAAUACUUGUUUGGAAUUUUCUGGACUUGAACAUGACAUAAUUUUUAACAAAAAGUACUUGGAAAAAAAAUGGAACACCGGUUCAUGUUUUGGACUUGAGAUGUCAUCUUCAUCAUGUUCCUUUUUAUAUGGUAUUAAAUACUUGAACAUCACCCUUAUAGUCCCCAAUAUAUAUGUAAAGAAACUCUAUUUUUCACAUUUCAAACUAUAUAUAUGUAUUUUUAGUAAUUUAAAACUUUAUUUAUUUUUAAAAAUAAUAACAUGAUACUCAAUUAAUAAACGCGAGAAAUGACAUUUAAUAAGGACGCCAAAUGUUGCGAUCUCAUGUGCUACUUUAAUACAAUACUAUUGUAAAUAUUUCUUCUAUAAAUGAAUCUUUCUUUGGAUAAGUUUAUUAUAAAUGAAUCUUGUUUUGAAGUAUUUUUCAAAUACUUUCCGAUGUUACAAAAGUCAUAAAUUUUCAGAAUAUAUAUUAAAACUUAUAAUCGACUUAUUACUAUGCUAAAGUUUAUUAUUGUAACCCAAACUCUAUUUCUUCUUAUCUUACACUAUAUGUAUGUAUUUGUGGUCAUUUGAAACUCUUAUUUUCAAAAAAAAACAUGACAUGUUACGUAGUAAGCGCGAUAAAUUAUGUCUAGUAAGGACUACAAUGAUCACAAGCUUAAUAUGUGCAAGUUUCUCAAAAUAGAUAUGCUUGCUGGGGGAGGUGGCAAACAAAUGGUUCAUUAUGUUAAUUGAAAUUUAAAUUAUGUUUUGAUGAUGAGUUAUUUGGUAUAAUCUAAUUUAAAUGUUGUGAAACUAUUGGGUCAGACCGUCUGAUUCAAUAGGUUCCGUCGGACGGGCUGAGCCCAACUUAACGCGCGCGGGCUUUUUUUCAUUUGUUUUUUUGUCUGUUUACUUUGUUAAUUUUUUUGCUUUGAUUGUGAUGGAUGUUGUUGUCAUUAGUAGCUGUAUUGAUUUCAUUUAAUUAAGUGUUUUUUCAGGUGGUAUUGUUGUUUUAUCAUUUCGUAGUGUUUAUGUUGUUUUUCAUUUUAUUUGUUUUGUUGUUUCAUUUAGAUAUGUAUUUCUUUCAUUUUAUUAUGUUUUUGUUUCAGUUGAUGCUGUCUUUGUUUCAUUUACAUAUUUUUUUUGGUGUGUUUUAAUUGUUGUUUUGUAUCAUUCACAUAUGUUUUGCUUUCAUUUGAUGUUGUUUUUCUUUCAUUUAGACAUUUCUAUCUUUCAUUUGGUAUUGUUGAUUUUGUUUUUCUUUGAUUUUUUGAUGUUUUAAGUUGAUUAUUGUAUUCUUUCAGUUGAUUCUUGUAUUUUUUCAGUUGGUGUGUAAAUUCUUUCAGAUUGUUAUUGAAUUGCUUAAUUUGUUUAUUUGGUUUGUUUAAUGAUUCA